UAAGGGCGCACGGUGGAUGCCUUGGCACUAGAAGCCGAUGAAGGACGUUACUAACGACGAUAUGCUUUGGGGAGCUGUAAGUAAGCUUUGAUCCAGAGAUUUCCGAAUGGGGAAACCCAGCAUGAGUUAUGUCAUGUUAUCGAUAUGUGAAUACAUAGCAUAUCAGAAGGCACACCCGGAGAACUGAAACAUCUUAGUACCCGGAGGAAGAGAAAGAAAAUUCGAUUCCCU
rnacentral:rRNA from 1 species